GUAUGCCUACGGGGGGCAGCAGUGAGGAAUAUUGGUCAAUGGGCGCAAGCCUGAACCAGCCACGCCGCGUGAGGGAAGACGGUCCUAUGGAUUGUAAACCUCUUUUGUCGGGGAGCAAAGCGCGGUACGAGUGCCGUGAAGGAGAGUACCCGAAGAAAAAGCAUCGGCUAACUCCGUGCCAGCAGCCGCGGUAAUACGGAGGAUGCGAGCGUUAUCCGGAUUUAUUGGGUUUAAAGGGUGCGUAGGCGGACUGUUAAGUCAGCGGUAAAAGCCCGGGGCUCAACCCCGCCGAGCCGUUGAAACUG
rnacentral:rRNA from 1 species